GUCUUCGAAGUUACUCUGGCCUUGAUAGUCCACCGACCCUGAUACGGAUUGAGAGCAUUAAUUGGAAUAAUCCUCGGAGGUGCUUCAUUCUUGGCUAUAGGUCCUCUGUUUGAGUACAUUGGUGAUGGCUGCUGGUAAGAAGACAGAGGUGACUGCUGAUAAGAAGGCUGAGGAGGCUGCUGAUAAGAAGGCUGAGGAGGCUGCUGAUAAGAAGGCUGAGGUGGUCGGACAUAAUUCACUGGACCUCGUGAAAUCGCAGGACCAGAUUCUGCUUUGGGGUAAAGAGGUGCCCCUGAACUAUAUCGUCCACUGUCAGU
rnacentral:lncRNA from 1 species